GACGAACGCUGGCGGCGUGCCUAAUACAUGCAAGUAGAACGCUGAAGGAGGAGCUUGCUUCUCUGGAUGAGUUGCGAACGGGUGAGUAACGCGUAGGUAACCUGCCUGGUAGCGGGGGAUAACUAUUGGAAACGAUAGCUAAUACCGCAUAAGAGUAGAUGUCGCAUGACAUUUGCUUAAAAGGUGCAAUUGCAUCACUACCAGAUGGACCUGCGUUGUAUUAGCUAGUUGGUGAGGUAACGGCUCACCAAGGCAACGAUACAUAGCCGACCUGAGAGGGGGAUCGGCCACACUGGGACUGAGACACGGCCCAGACUGCUACGGGAGGCAGCAGUAGGGAAUCUUCGGCAAUGGACGGAAGUCUGACCGAGCAACGCCGCGUGAGUGAAGAAGGUUUUCGGAUCGUAAAGCUCUGUUGUAAGAGAAGAACGAGUGUGAGAGUGGAAAGUUCACACUGUGACGGUAUCUUACCAGAAAGGGACGGCUAACUACGUG
rnacentral:rRNA from 1 species